AGGGUUUGAUCAUGGCUCAGAACGAACGCUGGCGGAAUGCUUUACACAUGCAAGUCGAACGAGUACUUUUUACUAGUGGCGAACGGGUGAGUAACGCGUGGGAACCUACCUUGAGGUAAAGAAUAACUACAGGAAACUGUAGCUAAUGCUUUAUGUGCCCUACGGGGGAAAGAUUUAUUGCCUUUUGAGGGGCCCGCGUCAGAUUAGCUUGUUGGUGAGGUAAUGGCUUACCAAGGCUAUGAUCUGUAGCUGGUUUGAGAGGAUGAUCAGCCACAUUGGGACUGAGAUACGGCCCAGACUCCUACGGGAGGCAGCAGUGGGGAAUCUUGGACAAUGGGGGAAACCCUGAUCCAGCAAUUCCGCGUGAAUGAUGAAGGCCUUAGGGUUGUAAAGUUCUUUUAGUAAGGAAGAUGAUGACGGUACUUACAGAAAAAGCUCCGGCUAACUCCGUGCCAGCAGCC
rnacentral:rRNA from 1 species